rnacentral:lncRNA from 1 species
GGAGUCAAGUGGAAAGAAAGGAAAGCCUGAGAUGGAGCUUUGAAUUCAACUGAACCUGGAAUCACAAUCCUGAAUUUACCUGAAAACUCACUGGAUUGAAAUGAUGAUGUAAAAGGCUGAACCAAAAAUAACAACUGAUCUUAUACACACCAUUCCUCUGCUGCAUUGGUAUGCUACAGCUGUGAUCUUCACAAGGGACAUAGAUGAAUCUGGAGAACAUCAUCCUCAGCAAACUGACACAAGAACAGAAAAUGAAACACCGCAUAUUCUCACUCAUAGUGUUUCCUGUUUAGGUUUCCUUGGAAAGUCACCAUGAGUCCAGUAAUUGAUGUGAG